CUGCUGUCAGGACACCAUUUUUAGCCCGUAAGUUACAACUUCAAGUCACAACUCACGACUUGGUAGCGUUCAAGGCAAAGUCACCACAAACCCUUCGAGGUAGCGUUAGCUAGCUAAUG